AACGAACGCUGGCGGCAGGCCUAACACAUGCAAGUCGAGCGAAGCCUUCGGGCUUAGCGGCGGACAGGUGAGUAACGCGUGGGAACGUGCCCUUUGGUACGGAAUAGCCCCGGGAAACUGGGAGUAAUACCGUAUGUGGUCGAGAGACGAAAGAUUUAUCGCCAAAGGAUCGGCCCGCGUUGGAUUAGGUAGUUGGUGGGGUAAUGGCCUACCAAGCCGACGAUCCAUAGCUGGUUUGAGCGGAUGAUCAGCCACACUGGGACUGAGACACGGCCCAGACUCCUACGGGAGGCAGCAGUGGGGAAUCUUAGGCAAUGGGGGAAACCCUGAUCUAGCCAUGCCGCGUGAUCGAUGAAGGCCUUAGGGUUGUAAAGAUCUUUCAGUGGGGAAGAUAAUGACUGUACCCACAGAAGAAGCCCCGGCUAACUCCGUGCCAGCAGCCGCGGUAACAC
rnacentral:rRNA from 1 species